rnacentral:rRNA from 1 species
AGAGUUUGAUCCUGGCUCAGGAUGAACGUUGGCGGUGUGCCUAAUACAUGCAAGUCGAACGGUGACCUAUUUGUAGCAAUACGAAUUUGUCAUAGUGGCGAACGGGUGAGUAACGCGUUGGUGAUCUGCCUCGAAGUGUGGAAUAACGUUCCGAAAGGAACGCUAAUACCGCAUGUGCUCUCAGUUUUUAGAAUGUUGAGAGUAAAGGAUUUAUUCGCUUCGAGAGGAGCCUGCGUCCCAUCAGCUAGUUGGUAGGGUAAUAGCCUACCAAGGCAAUGACGGGUAGGGGACCUGAGAGGGUGGCCCCCCACAAUGGAACUGAAACACGGUCCAUACACCUACGGGUGGCAGCAGUAGGGAAUAUUAGAAAUGGGCGAAAGCCUGAUCUAGCAACACCGCGUGUGCGAUGAAGGCCUUCGGGUUGUAAAGCACUUUUUGGAAGGAAUAGGAAGGAAGGUACUUCCAGAAUAAGUCUCGGCUAACUACGUGCCAGCAGCCGCGGUAACACGUAGGAGGCAAACGUUAUCCGGAUUUACUGGGCGUAAAGCGCGUGUAGGUGGUUCUGUAAGUAGGGCGUGAAAGCUCCCGGCUCAACUGGGAGAGGCCGUACUAAACUGCAGAGCUAGAGGAUGGUAGAGGGAGGUGGAAUUCCAGGUGUAGCGGUGGAAUGCGCAGAUAUCUGGAGGAACACCAGUGGCGAAGGCGGCCUCCUGGACCAUUCCUGACACUCAGACGCGAAAGCUAGGGUAGCAAACGGGAUUAGAGACCCCGGUAGUCCUAGCCCUAAACGAUGUAGACUAGACGUCGGCGGUGUAAUAGCUGUCGGUGUCCAAGCUAACGCGAUAAGUCUACCGCCUGGGGACUACGGCCGCAAG